UGAAAACAAAGAACCCAACUUUGAGAAAAUUAGAAGCUUGCUCUUCGCGGUGUGAUUUUGAUCGAUUUGGGUCUUAGCAACAACAAGAUGGCCCCCGCUCUGCUCAAAAUGGAUGUCUUCCAUGCCAUAAAACAAUGCAAAUUGCUUAGGCUGUGUUCUCUGCAAAGUGGAAAGCAGCUGGCUGAAAGUCCUUGAUGUUCUAUUCUCGCCUUUAGAGUUCUGUGGCUCUAACACCCUGUGAGAUAACUCCAGGCUGAAGAAUCUUCUGGUUCAUCUUCUAAGGGAUGAUUAGGCAGCACUAAAGUUAACAUAUUGACCAUAUUCACAUCAAAAUACCAAUUCAAUAUUGAGGUUUGCAGCAAUUAGGUGACCGCAAACUUAUCAGUCAUGGUGAUGCCGAUACUGAUGUUGAUGUGAUAAUAUGUGCCAUAAAAAGGAAUAUGGCGCACAUUGAAAGGAUUGAAGCUGUGGGGGGCUUGAAUUAUUGUGUCAAUUCAGUAUUUUAACCUCUAGCAAUGUCUGCGGGGAGUCCACAGCAAUCAAGCAGUGAACAUAAAGCUGCGAAUGAGGAAUGUUAAUGCCAGCAAGAAGUUAUCUCUUGUUAUCUAACUUCUUUGGUUUUUCUCUAAUUGCUGAACUGCAUCCUAAUUCUCAGUCUCUGAACUAAAUCUUUUAUCUCAAUGUUUAAAUACUCUUUUCAGGUUCUGAAAAUGAUUGAACAAAGUCUCUGCAUCCAUAUCCAGAUUUUU